rnacentral:misc_RNA from 1 species
UAAUAAGUGUUUUUAUGGCACUUUUUUAAAUCCAUAUCCACCUUGUGUGCAAUGUCAGUCGAUCUUCUUCAUGGAGAUCGACCAAAACAUCAACCUUUAUCUUUUAACUCUUCGUCUGAAAAAAUAUUAUGAAUAAGCAAUUCAAAAAUA